AUCCAGCUAACGAAUCCCAAAUAGGACGAAAUGCGCGUUUUGGAU
rnacentral:hammerhead_ribozyme from 1 species